rnacentral:lncRNA from 1 species
GCUCUUCAGAGACUUUUUCUUCGAGCUCAAUCUUCCUUCCACUGCCUCCAUCUUAGAUAAACUCUUUUUUUAAAAAGAUGACAUGACAGCUCACAAUCACAUUGUGAUCCUCAGGAAGAUAGAAGUAGUAUCCCAUGAUUUUUUUAAGAUAUCCUAUGAAAUGAGCCCUAAAGGAUCUAGCCUCUAACUUGUUCGCCUGCUGUCGCUUGACAU